rnacentral:rRNA from 1 species
CAGCCGUAAACAAUGUGCGUUAGGUGUGUCGGUAACCACGCGUUACUGAUGCGCCGAAGAGAAAUCGUGAAACGCACCACCUGGGAAGUACGGUCGCAAGGCUGAAACUUAAAGGAAUUGGCGGGGGAGGCACCACAACAGGUGGAGCCUGCGGUUUAAUUGGAUUCAACGCCGGACAUCUCACCGGAUAAGACAGCUGAAUGAUUGUCAAUCUGAAGGUUUUACAUGACUAGCUGAGAGGAGGUGCAUGGCGUCAGUGACU